rnacentral:lncRNA from 1 species
GGGUUUUAUAGUUAUUUAUGAAAGAAGAUCAUUGUUGUUCAUAUGUGUCAAUUCACUAGAAAGGGAUGAAAAAAAGAGUUCAAUAUUUUUUUUGGAGGUGUUAAUAAUGCAUAUUGAAUUGGGGUUGUUUGAUGGUUGUAAUUGGAAUGGAUGAAUUGGAUAAUGUAGUAAGGAAGGGAGCUAUUUGGUUCUCUGGUGUUGUGAAAUUUGAGGGUGAAGUGAGGUGGUGUUCAUGCAGGUUU